AAGCGGGGGGGGGGAAGGGGAAGAGAGGUGAAGCGGCAGGGUGGCCCCAACCAUCUCAGCGCCCUACUGCCGCCCGCCCCCCUCUCUCUCCCGCCAGCGGGGUGGUGCUGCUACCCCGCCGCGCGCGGGGCUGCGGCCGCCGGGCGCCCUUUCCCGCCGCGCCGUGCGGCCCCGCCCCAGCAGCCAUGUUUUGGAGGAGGCGUUCGUCGAGGCGGCGGGAGCGUACGGAACAUGCACAGCGGCAGGCAGCGGCCUGCGGGCGCGCACCCCGGCCAGUGGGUGCUCAUUGCACCAGAGGCUGCUAUUGAACCCCCUAAGCCACCUGACAGUGAACCUUUGUUUACAAAACUGCGCAAUCCAAGCACAGGGGAAGCAACGCUUUACUUAUUCAAUAGUGGUGCACAGCAGCUGUUUGAAGUAAAAGUUUAUCAUGAGGACUAUCGUUCCUGGUUUAUAGGUCAGACCGUUCAACAAGAUGGGCGCCUGCUGUUUGUUACACCGAUGGACCCCUUAUUUCUGAUACUUUACUACCUCAUAAAGGCGGACAAGGAGCAGCAAGGAAAGUACCAGCCACUCGAUCAAGUUGUGCUAGACUCGGACUUCCCUAACUGCCCACUGCUACUGAAGUGUGCAGAUGUUAAACAGUACAUACAUCAUGUAACAGAAGAAAAAGAGAUUGGCAGUCAGAAAUUCCACAGAUACAGCCAAGAGAAGACACUGAAGUGGUUAAAGAAAAAGGUCAUUCAAACAGUGAAAGCACUUAAAAGCAACAAUAUAUCUGUAGGUGAAAGGGUACAUGCACCUACAUUUAUCAGUGAUAAACGGAUCACAGAUACUGAUGAAGACUACAUGCGGUAUGCCCAUGGGUUAGUAUCAGACUAUAUUCCUGAAGAUCUGAGCAAAGAGUUGUUAAAAUACUUAGGGCUCCCAGAACUUAAAAGCCCAGCACAAGAGCCACCACUGAAGAAAAGGAAAUUAUCAGAUGUCCCAGUGGAAGCAGAAGACUAUACUAAGUUUAACAGCAGUGAUCUGAAACCCAAAAAGGCAAACAGCAAGAUGUCUGCAGCGCAGAAGGCUCUGGCCAAAGUUGAUAAGACUGGAAUGAAAUCCAUUUCUGCUUUCUUCAGCUCCAAACCUAAAGCAACAAAAUAAAGACUUGUUCUUGAAAGACUUUUAUACAGUGGUUAUUUUUGCAUUUAGCUAAAGAUGUCUCCUGGGUUUUUUCGUUAGUAUAGUAUAUGCAGGACAUGUCUCUGUACACGGUGGAGUGUGAUGUGUAGAGAUCUGUGAGCUGGUGUGGGACAAGCUUUUAUACCUCAGUGGGGCAAGGCACUACCAUGCAGAUGUUCCAGCCUGGGUCAGGAAAACAGCCUAGCUGCAUUAGCAUGGUCCUUUGAGCUGAGAAGCAAGGUGUAGCACAGUACCAUAGUGUACUGCUGCCUGCUCUAGAGUGAGCUCAGUCAAAGCCACCACCAAGUUUUCUCCGUUGCACUCCAUUCUGGGCUGGAAGCAUGCCCUCUUUUGAUGAAUUUUUAAGGAGAGUUUUUUUAUUCAUAAGGAUCAUUAUUUUUUUGGAGGCUUUUUGGAGAUUUUACCCAGUAUAACACCAAGGUAGGAUGGCAUCUUUAGAUUUUUGUGUUCACCCAAAUCUUACUGCUGAUGUAAGCAUUGUAAUUGGUGGCAAUUUAUCAAGGCAAAGAUAGUGUCCAUAGAGGGAUUUCAGUUGUUUUGAAUAUACUAGAAACAAAUUGCAGUAAAUGUCAAUGUGCAUGUAAUGCAAUAAAGUACUUUGUGUAAUAAAUCUGUGCUUGUUGUACUUGCUGUAUGUUUCAAGAGUCAGAUUAGUCUGCAGCACAAUUCUUAAAGGGUUUCAGUGUCUUCCUGUGUAUAAAUUUUAAUCCUAUAAGAAUUACAACAUCACUUUGGGCUUACAUGAUAAAUCUCUUAACACAUAGCAUUAUAGGGGUAUUUUUAUGUUGAGUUCCAAGGUCAGUAGGUCCUUACAAAAAUAAUAGGGGACAGAUUUAUUUAAAGGCAAAACUGGGGCUUUUAAAGAAGCCUGUUUGGAGCUGGAUGUGUAAUUCAAAAGCUUACGUAUGAGUGUCUUGGAUAAGAUUUAUUUGGUGGAUUUUUGCACAAGAUAGGACUGUUUUUUAAAAUGUACUACUUGCUCUUGGGUGCGUUCUUUCCCUAUUGCAGAUUAUUCCUAUAUAUUCAGGGGGACAGCUGUCUGCUAUGUGGCAGCUUCUGUGACAAAAAGAGAUGGAGUCACUGGGAUCAUUUGUAUAAGUUUUACCAGUUCUGCACACCACUAACUCAGUUUCAUCCAUCAGUUGUUGCACUGAGCUAUUACAGUGGAUCAACUACAAUAUGUGUUUUAGAAAGACAAUUUUAAAAUAAUGUUAUUUGCUACUUCGGCUCAGUAGAGAAUCUGCCUGUAUUCUUUGAUAGUGAGGAGUUUCUUCAUUUUUAGUAACUAUGCCGUUUUUCUGCUUCAGACUUCUUGCUGCUGUUUACAAUCCAUGGAUUAGAGUGGUGUCUGUUAGGUUAAAGAGGUCUGUGAUAUUUUUUUCCAACCAGAAAUGAAUGAGAAGGCUUGCUGUAUGUUGUGCCCAGUUUUGCAAUUGUUGUUGGAGUUUGUCUGCAUUCCAAACCAGUGGAUUUUUAAAGUUUCAGGCAUAGUUUGUAAAUGGGAAAGUCAGUAUGGUUGGAAAUCCAGAUAGAGGAGAAUAUUUGGAAAUCUAUGGAAUUAUUGCUUACAGAAAUUUAUUUAAGAAAUGUGGAUAACCUUCCAGUAACAUACAGCUAAUAUUUCUGAUUCUAAAAAUGUUUGUCUGAGGUGGAUUAUCAAGAGCCAAAAUGAAAAUAAAGUUCCUUAGAAAAAAACUGCUUUUCGGGCAUUAUAAGGAAUCACUACUGUAAGUCUUCCUUAUCUCUGAAAAUCAGCCUGUAGUACUGGAGUUUGAACAUAGGUUGAGAAGCAUGUGAUUCACAUGAAUAGACUUUGUUGAUUUAGUUAGAAUCAUUAUCUCAAGCCAUUUGGUGCUUUAAUAAAAUUCCAAUAAUGAACGUCAGCUUUAUGGAACAGUAUAAGGUAGUGGGGAGCAGUAGGAACUACAAAAAAAAAAUCCCAGUAAUUGCUACGUGAAGCCAUAGAGAAGUUCCUGUUGUAGCACACUGCCUUGCUGAUUUCACCAGCCCUAUCAGUAAAGUUUCCUUUUCUGAAAUUAGCCAUCAGACAAGUUUAAAAAAUAAUAGCAGGUGUCAGUGUAUGUGAUGAUUUGUAAGCGCACCACCUUUAGUAUUGCCAUCUUGCUUUUUUCCUACCUUGCUUGUCUAGGCUAUAAGUGAAGAUCAGCCCUGUAGCAGCUCAUAGAAUCAUCAGGUUGGACAGGACCCGCCGGAUCAUCAAGUCCAACCAUACAUAUUGAUUUUUCCAAUGGAUCCUUGCUCUGAUUGGAAAGAGCUACCUUUUGAUGCCUGCGCAAAAACGUGCGAAGAAGAAAUGAAAGGAGCAUAAGGAGACUCGCUAAUAUUAUUUUAACUUGCUGUAAUCUCCAAGCAGCUUUUAAAGGCUUUUUUUACGCACUUUCUGAAAGUAAGUGCUUGGAGUUAGACAUGCCCUGUUCCAAGGAAAAACAAAUCUCAGCAGAUUAACAUUAUUAAAUAUGCGGUGUGUUAAACAUACACUGCUUCAAAUUUUAUAGCUUAUACGCUAUUGGUCUAUCGGGCCCUUCCAGGAAAGCACUUACGAGCAUGCCUAAUGUUAAGCACAUGAGCAGUGAUCUUAAAGUCAGCAGUGUUGUUCGUGUGGAUAAGUGCUUUGUUGGAUCAGCGCCUAAAGUACUGUUAGGUGCUGAGCAUCCUGAUCCAUAUCCAGCAAAGCACUUAGGUUCCUGCUUAUCUUGAAGUGGAAGAGCCAGUCUAACUAAUAUUUGUGCAUUAGUGUUCACCAUAAAAUCUCUCAUGGCACAACGACUCACAUGCUUAAAAUUAAGCACCUGCCUAAGUAUUUUGCAGGGUCACACCAACAACAGCCCUGAGCAAGUCUUAAAUAAUUAUUUGAUUUUGUGUGAAUUUCUUUUUUUUGUGGUUUUUUUUUUAACAGAGUAUAUGAUUUUAGUGGCGAUAAUUGUAAGAUUUAGAAGCUGCAUAGCAAAAUACUGUAUGAAAUUUUCUCCUUUCUUUUUCAAAAUCUAGUCAAAUUCAGCAAGGUAGCCACUUUGGACUGGAAUUUCAAUGUUCAGACUUAGAAUAAUAUAAAAUGGGGGAAAAAAAGUUAAUUCUAUUUUUUAGCACAUUUAUGGCUUUUUUUAAAUUGAUUUCCUGAGUUUGAUUUAAAUGGCUUUGUCCAGUUCUGACCUUUUAUCCAGACGUCAGCCAGCUUUCAUGUGGACAGUCUGCUGUGAAGUGCUAAAGCUUGAGGUAGGAUGUGUGUUCAGAAGAGCAGAUGGAGAAGCUUUAUUUUUAUUUUACUUCUUUUUUUUCCAAGACAUUGAAACCUUAGAAACAUGUAUAAGAUAAGGUAUACAUUUUGUGUUAAAAACUAAACCAAAACCUGUGUAGUCAGGUAAAAAAACCCACCUAAUUAUUUCUUAAUCAUGUAAGACACACUUUCUAUGGAAGGAACUUCAACCAAAAUGUCAACUUGAGCAUGCAUAAAGCACGCAGAAAACGGAUGCUAAGGCGAUCCUUAAGGGAUCUGUGUCAGAUGCAGUCUAUGUUUUUAACUUGAUAACCUGUUCAUCAAACUACCGUUAAUAUCUAACUCUUUGCUACACAACAUUUUAAAAGUGAUAACUUAAUGAAUGUGUACUUCUGUAAAUUUUAACUGUGAUUCCAGUUCACAGGUUUCAAACCUUGAAUAUAUUUGAAGCAUUCUAGAUAAGGAGUAAAAAAAAAAAAUAUUUUGCUUCCACUCUGGCAAAUUCUUCCUAACUUCAGGUCAAACAAGAGCUCCAAGAAGAGUUUGUGAGGACAUUGCUGAAAAUUAAUUUCAAGAUGAAGAUGCAAUACUUUAUUCAACUUUCUUUUCAACUGAUUCUGAUCAACUCUUUCAGAAUAUGAAAACACUGAACCAGUAACCAUUUAGAAGUCAUAGAUGAAAGGAAAUGUAAUCUUAAUGCUUACUCUAGAAAUUUGCACUGAAUUCUUAUUGUUACUUUGAUGCUUGUCUGGUUAAGCAAUGCACACUAUCCCUUAUCAAGGAAAAAAUGUUUAUUUUAACAUAGUUUCCCCAGGCAGUACUGCAAGAAUAUUAUAUGGGUCCAAGAUGAAAUGUCUA